UAAAUUGAAGCAAAAAAAAAUGCAAUUAGUUUCGACCUGAUAUUUAAUGAUAAAAUUCAUUCUAUUUAA